CAAGACGAACGGAGCUGCUUAGAAGAAGCUUUCGGAUGGAUUUAAAACAGCUUAGUGGCGGACAGGUGAGUAACGCGUGGGUAACCUGCCUCACACUGGGGGAUAACAGUUAGAAAUAGCUGCUAAUACCGCAUAAGCGCACAGUUCCGCAUGGAACAGUGUGAAAAACUCCGGUGGUGUGAGAUGGACCCGCGUCUGAUUAGCCAGUUGGCGGGGUAACGGCCCACCAAAGCGACGAUCAGUAGCCGGCCUGAGAGGGUGAACGGCCACAUUGGGACUGAGACACGGCCCAAACUCCUACGGGAGGCAGCAGUGGGGAAUAUUGCACAAUGGGGGAAACCCUGAUGCAGCGACGCCGCGUGAGUGAAGAAGUAUUUCGGUAUGUAAAGCUCUAUCAGCAGGGAAGAAAGUGACGGUACCUGAAUAAGAAGCCCCGGCUAACUACGUGCCAGCAGCCGCGGUAAUACGUAGGGGGCAAGCGUUAUCCGGAUUUACUGGGUGUAAAGGGAGCGUAGACGGCAAGGCAAGUCUGAAGUGAAAGCCCGGUGCUUAACGCCGGGACUGCUUUGGAAACUGUUUGGCUGGAGUGCCGGAGAGGUAAGCGGAAUUCCUAGUGUAGCGGUGAAAUGCGUAGAUAUUAGGAAGAACACCAGUGGCGAAGGCGGCUUACUGGACGGUAACUGACGUUAAGGCUCGAAAGCGUGGGGAGCAAACAGGAGUAGAUACCCUGGUAGUCCACGCCGUAAACGAU
rnacentral:rRNA from 1 species